rnacentral:rRNA from 1 species
CGAAGGCAAGCGGAUCUCUUAAAGCUGUUCUCAGUUCGGACUGCAGUCUGCAACUCGACUGCACGAAGCUGGAAUCGCUAGUAAUCGCGGAUCAGCACGCCGCGGUGAAUACGUUCCCGGGCCUUGUACACACCGCCCGUCACACCAUGGAAGUCUGCAAUGCCCGAAACCGGUGGCCUAACCACUUAUGUGGAAGGAGCCGUCUAAGGCAGGGCAGAUGACUGGGGUGAAGUCGUAACAAGGUAGC